rnacentral:lncRNA from 1 species
ACAUGGAAACUUUAAAUAUGUUUUAAAAACUGCACAUGUAAUAAGAAUGAUUAUGAACCUAAGGAAAUUUAAACUUUUUAUUUCCACAAAAGUAUUUGAAGUUUUCAUUUCAAACUAAACAGGAUACUGUUUGUUUAUAUAUUUGAAAAAAAAAAAAAAAAAGAUUGAAUAGAUCGCAAGCAGCUCAGAUAGGGCAGAUAAAAAAAUCUCGCAGGGCUGACAUUGGGAAGACUAAGCCAGGUGCUUAGGAAACUGAAGGUAGGCGUACCGUACAGGGUGUGUAACCGUAAGGGUUGGCAAUGGCUCUGGGUAGACCAGAGCAAAGUCUUCCCUGAAGCUGUGUGGACGUCCUGGGAUUGGAAUGCUGGCCUUGUCGGCAUUACUUCUGUGUGUAGUGAGUUGAGUAUGUGAGAAGCAUGUUCAUAGAUGUUGACAGACCUGUUUUACUUGUUUCUCAGUCUUUUCAGAUCAUUGCUUAUAAAACACUGAUAUUUACAGUAAAUACCUUGUUUAAAUAUAGGCUCACCUGCCAAACCGUGUGUCCUUGUGCUGCACUCGUUUAAUGACUUUGCCCUUGACAUGUCAUCUGGGUGACUUUCAGUGACAGAAUGUUUGAAGAAGAUAAAGGGAAAAGCAGGAAGAGAAUAGCAUUUCCAGGAAAAAGCAGUCAUACAAGGGACAGGCUGGGGAGAGAAUAAAAGACGAUUUCUGUUGUGUGACCUUUGGCUGAUUCCUGAAGCAGACUGAUUUCAUUUGCCUUGUUUGUAAAUGAGAACAUUAUACUGUGGUAAGUUCCUUUACCUCUGACUUCAUCCAGUGAUCUGUUUUAUUGUGUGUUUGUCUUUUUUUUUUUUUUUUUUUUUUUUGUCUUUUUUCCUUUUUUUUUUUGUCUUUUUGCCAUUUCUUGGGCCGCUCCCGUGACAUAUGGAGUUUCCCAGGCUAGGGGUCUAAUCGGAGCUGUAACUGCCAGCCUAUGCCAGAGCCACAGCAACUCGGGAUCCUACACCACAGCUCACGGCAACGCCGGAUCGUUAACCCACUGAGCAAGGGCAGGGAUCGAACCCGCAGCCUCAUGGUUCCUAGUCGGAUUCGUUAACCACUGCGCCACGACGGGAACUCCUCUUUUUGUCUUUUUAUGGCCGCACCCUUGGCAUAUAGAGGUUCCCAGGCUAGAGGUCAAAUCGCAGCUGUGGCUGCUGGCCUACACCACAGCUACAUCAAUGCAGGAUCCGAGCCAGAUCCGAGCCACAUCUGUCACCCACACCACAGCUCACGGCAACGCCGGAUCCUUAACCCACUGAGCGAGGCCAGGGAUCGAACCCACAUCGUCAUGGUUCCUAGUCAGAUUCAUUUAACCACUGCGCCACGAUGGGAACUCCCUGCAAUAUUUAGCAUUUUGAUUUCUAUGUUAAACCACCUGGAUUCAUCUGUAAAAUGGAGUUAGCUAUUUCCUAACUUGUAAUGAUAAUUUAAUUAGAUAAUCCAGAUAAUCAUUUAGCACGCUGCCUGACACAAACUAAGCCCUUGGGAACUAAUCCACUCUUCAAAACUCAAGUUCCGAUGUCUUAGUAUUACCUGGAUCUUGGAUCUCCUCGGUCCUCUCUUUGUGCCUUAAGUGUGUCUUCUAACUUUCUAGUUAGGCACUGCCACUAGUCCUGAAAUUGUCACCAGUCCUGAAAUUGUCAGCAGUUUAUCUGCAUGUAUAGUUCUCCUCUUGGAUUAUGAGCCCUUUGAGGACAGAAACAGGUUUAUUUGUCUUCAUAAAUUCGAUGUCUGACUUUAUAAAUUUUGCUGAAAGAAUAAAAUUGUAUUCUUGUUUUUAAAUAGGGUCCCCUCCCUCUCUCAGUGGACGAUAAUGCUGGAGCAAAGGUGACCAGUAGAAGUGUUCUCGGAAAUUCUCGUCAUGUUCUCAAACCACUUUUUUUUUUUUUUUUAAACAGCUACUUAAUUGCCACUGUACUCCCAAGGAUUAGAUAGUUUUUUUACUUUGCUUCUUCACAUGGUUUUCCUUAUUAAAAAAGUUACAGUAAGAAAGUAACUGGCAGGUGGAGAACUAUCCACUAAACAUGAAUAAAAGUCAGAGUUGCAUGCAGGCAGCAUAAUGACAGUAUAAAGAGGUUGAUCUUGGAGUCAAGGUGCUGGGUUCCUGCCACAGCAUCUGCCAUUUUCUAGCUGCAGGACUUUUUUCUCUCUCGCUCUACAGUGUGGUCCUAUUUCAUGGUGCUUGGUAUAACAGUAAGAAAAGUAGACUGGAGGCUGUGAAGGGGACUAGAGUUAGUCCUCUGGUGGUGCUCCGGAUAGACCAGAGCACAAGUCUUUUCUAGAGUUCUUAGAAUGAUCAAUAGGAGAUAAUAUUCGUGUAGUCCCAACACUGUGCCUGCUUGAUAGAAGAUACUCAGUUAUUUCUCAGCACAGAAAUGCAGGUCUAGGGAGUUCCCGUGUGGCAUAGCCAGUUAAGGAUCUGGCAUUGUCAUUGCGGUGGUGCAGGUUCAGGCUCAAUCCUUGGGCCUGGGAACUUCUGCAUGCCACAGAUGGAG